rnacentral:rRNA from 1 species
GAUGAACGCGAGCUACAGGCUUAACACAUGCAAGUCGAGGGGAAACGACAUUUAAGCUUGCUUCGAUGGUCGUCGACCUUCGCACGGGUGAGUAACGCGUAUCCAACCUGCCUAUGACCAAGGGAUAACCCGUCGAAAGUCGGCCUAAUACCUUAUGCAGUCGUCGGAAGUCAUCUGAUGACGACGAAAGAUUUCAUCGGAUAGAGAUGGGGAUGCGUCUGAUUAGCUUGUGGGCGGGGUAACGGCGCACCAAGGCAACGAUCAGUAGGGGUUCUGAGAGGAAGGCCCCCCACAUGGGAACUGAGACACGGGCCAAAGUAAUACGGGAGGCAGCAGUGAGGAAUAUUGGACAAUGGGCGAGAGACUGAACCAGCCAAGUAGCGUGCAGGAUGACGGCGCUAUGGGUUGUAAACUGCUUUUAUGCGGGGAUAAAGUGAGGGACGUGUCCUUCAUUGCAGGUACCGCAUGAAUAAGGACCGGCUAAUUCCGUG